AGGGUCUAUACACCUUCACCAGGAAAGCAGUGAUGACAGCUGUGCUCCCUGUCUCCUGCAGGAUGUGGAUGGCGAGGUGUCCACUUCCCUCUGCUGCUUGAUCUCAGAUACACUCAACCACAGAUCCUAUUAACUGGCAACCUGAAGGUUUAUGCACCUUGAGGACUGCUGAACACCUUGACACAGCUAGCUCGUGCAUCUAAGAGAUUGACUGAGGCAGCAGCUUUGAAAUACUUCUUCAACUACUGCAAAGACUGCAAGAUAUCCAUUAAAGCACAAUUUACUUCAUCAGCAAGCCUUCUGCAAGCUGUUCCCAAAAAGGGUGAAAUGAGCUGUGGCCUGGAAAGGUUACCUGGACACGUGGGAAAUUUCACAAUCUUUUCAACGUUGGCUUUUUUCCAUGUAAAAAGAAGCUAUCAUCUUCUGGGAAGAAAAAAGGCUGAGAAAUUCCGUGAUCUGCCAUCUGCAAGCUGGAUAAUAAGAUAAGCUGGUGGUGUAAUUUAGUCUACACUGGAAUGCCUGAGAAUCAGGAGUUAACAGUUUAAGUCUUCUUCAGAGUCCACAGGCUGGAGAACCAGAAGCUUUGGUACCCCAAGACAGGAGCAGGUGGGUGUCCUAGCUCAAGAAAAGACAGCAAAUUCACCCU
rnacentral:lncRNA from 1 species